rnacentral:rRNA from 1 species
CCUACGGGAGGCUGCAGUGAGGAAUAUUGGUCAAUGGACGAGAGUCUGAACCAGCCAAGUCGCGUGAAGGAUGACUGCCCUAUGGGUUGUAAACUUCUUUUAUAAAGGAAUAAAACGAGGCACGUGUGCCUUUUUGCAUGUACUUUAUGAAUAAGGAUCGGCUAACUCCGUGCCAGCAGCCGCGGUAAUACGGAGGAUCCGAGCGUUAUCCGGAUUUAUUGGGUUUAAAGGGAGCGUAGAUGGGUUGUUAAGUCAGUGGUGAAAUUUUGCGGCUCAACCGUAAAAUUGCAAUUGAUACUGGCAGUCUUGAGUACAGUUGAGGUAGGCGGAAUUCGUGGUGUAGCGGUGAAAUGCUUAGAUAUCACGAAGAACCCCGAUUGCGAAGGCAGCUUACUAAACUGUGACUGACAUUGAUGCUCGAAAGUGUGGGUAUCAAACAGGAUUAGAUACCCCAGUAGUC